rnacentral:tRNA from 1 species
UGGCCUGUGGUGUAAUGGUAACACAGAAGUUUUUGGUACUUUUAUUCAGGGUUCGAGUCCUUGCGGGCCAA